CACGUAGGGUCCGAGCGUUGUCCGGAAUACUGGGCGUAAAGCGCGCGCAGGCGGCGAUCUACGUCUGGGGUGAAAGCCCGGAGCUCAACUCCGGGACUGCCUUGGAUACGGGAUCGCUUGAGGAUUGGAGAGGCAAGGGGAAUUCCACGUGUAGCGGUGAAAUGCGUAGAGAUGUGGAGGAACACCUGUGGCGAAGGCGCCUUGCUGGCCAAUUACUGACGCUGAGGCGCGAAAGCGUGGGGAGCAAACAGG
rnacentral:rRNA from 1 species